AUCGAAAAAAUAUCGAUUUUCCACCAAGUUAUGACGAUUUCAAGUUGGUGGCCUAGGAAUCCAAAUUUUCGGGGUUUCUAGGCCACCAAAAAU
ensembl:ncRNA M70.7 ncRNA